UACGUAGGGUGCAAGCGUUGUCCGGAAUUAUUGGGCGUAAAGAGCUCGUAGGCGGUUUGUCGCGUCUGCUGUGAAAACCCGAGGCUCAACCUCGGGCCUGCAGUGGGUACGGGCAGACUAGAGUGCGGUAGGGGAGAUUGGAAUUCCUGGUGUAGCGGUGGAAUGCGCAGAUAUCAGGAGGAACACCGAUGGGGAAGGCAGAUCUCUGGGCCGUAACUGAAGCUGAGGAGCGAAAGCGUGGGGAGCGAACAGG
rnacentral:rRNA from 1 species